rnacentral:misc_RNA from 1 species
UUAAGUUCAGCGGGUAGUCCUACCUGAUUUGAGGUCAAGGUUUGUUGUGGGUCAAGCCGACCACCUACGGAGAGGCGGCGACCGGAACACCAUCGUUGUCGAUGAGACGGUUAGAAGCGGGCAACGGUGCCAAACCCAAGACGUAGAAACAUUUUAUCACGUCAAGGAUCAGCAAAGCGGACCCCACUAAUUCAUUUGAG